CAAGCCAGUAUGCAGCACACCUCUAUGGCCUGUGCACCAGCACCUGCUUCCAGGUUCCUGCCCUGUGUGAGUUCCUGCCCUGACUUCCUUCCCAGAUGAACAGCACUGUGGAACUAACUAAGUGGCAUACACCACCACCUGGCUUCCAGAAUGCACAUUUAACCGAUUUGCCUCCUUUCUUACUUCCAUAAACAGAGGAUGAGUCACAGAAGCAAACACUGAACCCAAGAGCAUCCGUUACUGACUACAGGAGCCCAAGAGCAUCCAUUACUGACUACAGGAGCCCAAGAGCAUCCAUUACUGACUACAGGAGCCCAAGAGCAUCCAUUACUGACUACAAAAGCCAUGCUGUGUGCUUGCUGCUCCUGCUGCUCUGCCAGGCUGACUCCUCACCCUUCUCUAAAGGCACAGUGUCAUCCAAGCAUGUGUUGAAGAGGGCCUUCCUUUAUCUUUGCACUUUUCUGUAAAACCAAACAACAUAAAAGUUUUAACUGGC